UUUUAAGCAUCGCCAUCAACCUCACAUAGCUUACUCUUGGGCUUUCUUACAAUGAGCCGGUUCUCUUGCACUUACACUCAUACAUUGCAUUAUUUGUUGUUUGGGCCCGAUUUAAUUGUUUCAGUACUUUGAAUCCCCAUUUGACAAAAUGUACCCCACUUCCCCGAUGUGUAAUAAUUUUACUGCUUUUCAUUUCUUUAUUGCUUGACUGUUUAGUUAGCUACUAACACAAGAAUAAAAUCAACCAUUUCCAAAAUAUCAAAAAAAUAAGACUCGAUCCAACAUCGAGUAUUUUCUCAAUAAACAAAUCAAUCCAUUUCUUCCUCCCAUUC
rnacentral:lncRNA from 1 species